AUCACUUCCUGACCAUUUGGCUAAGAUCAAAUGUGUAUCUAAUUUUAUCAGCUUAAUAUCUGAUACAUUUUCUAUCUGAGGACAAUAUAUUUAAUAGAUUUGGGAUCUGAAAGAUGGGAUUGGAACUUGCUCCACCUAGUCCAUGUGUGAACCUAGUACACAGCAUCUCCAUAAAUGGUUCACCCCUUCA
ensembl:snRNA U2 U2 spliceosomal RNA